AUCGAACGCUGGCGGCAGGCUUAACACAUGCAAGUAGAGCGAGCGGCGGACGGGUGAGUAAUGUCUGGGAGACGGCCUGAUGGAGGGGGAUGACUGAUGAAAACGGUAGCUAAUACCGCAUAACAUCAGUUGUGCCCAGAUGGGUUUAGCUAGUAGGUGGGAUAAAGGCUCACCUAGGCGACGAUCCCUAGCUGGUCUGAGAGGAUGACAGCCCAACCUGGAACUGGUACACGGUCCAGACUCCUACGGGGGGCAGCAGUGGGGAAUAUUGCACAAUGGGCGCAAGCCUGAUGAAGAAAUGCCGCGUAUGGGAAGAAGGCCUUCGGUUGGUAAAGCACUUUCAGCGAGAAGGCGUUACUCGCAGAAGAAGCACCGGCUAACUCCGUGCCAGCAGCCGCGGUAAUUC
rnacentral:rRNA from 1 species